GUGACUGCGUACCUUUUGUAUAAUGGGUCAGCGACUUAUAUUCUGUAGCAAGGUUAACCGUAUAGGGGAGCCGUAGGGAAACCGAGUCUUAACUGGGCGUUAAGUUGCAGGGUAUAGACCCGAAACCCGGUGAUCUAGCCAUGGGCAGGUUGAAGGUUGGGUAACACUAACUGGAGGACCGAACCGACUAAUGUUGAAAAAUUAGCGGAUGACCUGUGGCUGGGGGUGAAAGGCCAAUCAAACCGGGAGAUAGCUGGUUCUCCCCGAAAGCUAUUUAGGUAGCGCCUCGUGAAUUCAUCUCCGGGGGUAGAGCACUGUUUCGGCUAGGGGGCCAUCCCGGCUUACCAACCCGAUGCAAACUGCGAAUACCGGAGAAUGUUAUCACGGGAGACACACGGCGGGUGCUAACGUCCGUCGUGAAGAGGGAAACAACCCAGACCGCCAGCUAAGGUCCCAAAGUCAUGGUUAAGUGGGAAACGAUGUGGGAAGGCCCAGACAGCCAGGAUGUUGGCUUAGAAGCAGCCAUCAUUUAAAGAAAGCGUAAUAGCUCACUGGUCGAGUCGGCCUGCGCGGAAGAUGUAACGGGGCUAAACCAUGCACCGAAGCUGCGGCAGCGACACUGUGUGUUGUUGGGUAGGGGAGCGUUCUGUAAGCCUGUGAAGGUGGCCUGUGAGGGUUGCUGGAGGUAUCAGAAGUGCGAAUGCUGACAUAAGUAACGAUAAAGCGGGUGAAAAGCCCGCUCGCCGGAAGACCAAGGGUUCCUGUCCAACGUUAAUCGGGGCAGGGUGAGUCGACCCCUAAGGCGAGGCCGAAAGGCGUAGUCGAUGGGAAACGGGUUAAUAUUCCCGUACUUGGUGUUACUGCGAAGGGGGGACGGAGAAGGCUAUGUUGGCCGGGCGACGGUUGUCCCGGUUUAAGCGUGUAGG
rnacentral:rRNA from 1 species